CUUCCACAGCACGCUUCAGCCUCACUGUGCGAAGAAAACCAAAGAAAACCAUUGCACCACGAUGUACCAGGAGGUACAUCGUGAUUGCGCUUAGGUUAGUACGUCUUCGCACCACGUGUUAAGAAAUUUCCAAUUUGUUCCAUGUAUGUUUGGAUGGAAAAUAUCCAUUGAAAGAAUACCCCUAAAAAAUAAAAAUGGAUGUUAAACAACUUGGUAGUCUACCCUUGAUUCAUAAGCUUAGUAAUUGUGUUUCGAAACUCGACGUAAUUUUAUUUCAGGAAACAUUACAAUUGCUGCUUUGGGUAUGCCUUUAUUUCUCCGUGACAAUUUUUUUAGCACCACAAAUACUUUUGUUCAACGAGGUGUCUAGAAGAUGUUUAAGUCUUUGAUUGAAGUUGAUAAAUAUCUAAAAUUUCUUUUUUUAUAAUGUCAUUCUUGUGCUAGGGCUUGAUCUGUUCACAAACAUAAGGGUAUGUAAUGCAACCUGUGGCCAGAAAGGGUGAAACCAAAGUAUGCCUUGGAAUUGACAUAAGUCUGUUAGGAAGCAGUGCUACCUAAAAGUCUGAAUAUUGGUUUUCAGAUAUCUUGAUUAUUCCCCUGCCGGUAACUGAUUUUUAUACAUUCCAAUCCACUUUGCGUUUUUGGAUGCCAGAAAUCUGUGAGAGUUGUUGAACUCUUAUUGUCAAAUGCUCCUUUUAAUUGACGAGCCCAUUUGAUUGUGAUGAAACCCGAGGAAGGGUUAAAGACCGGCUUUUUCUUACCGCCAAAUGCCUAACCGAAAGAACCGAAGAUUUGAUCAGUCUGUCAGAUUCUGCUUUUAUCAAUUUUUAUGUGAUUUGCCUGGCGUCGAACCUCUAAUAGGAGAAUUUCAUUUUGGCCUAAACAAAAUGGAAGAUAUCCUGUACAAAAAGAUGAUUCUCUCAUUAGGAUGCGACCGUAUUCAAUUUAUCUUCUCUGCUGUCUGAAGCAGCUCUCAUCAGCCAAGCCUGUAAUGACUCCCAAUUCGAGUUGCUAGAACGAGAACGAUAAUCAUGUUGGCAAUUACCUGAAUCCCCUUUGACAAACAUAUUUUGUUAAAGGUGCUUUGGCAGGGUGUCUCAUUCGACGAAGAUAAGCAGGCAGCAGCUGGUAAAACCAGGAAUGUCUUUGUAUUGAAAACCCAGAAGAGAAAAGGACCGUUUGCUGGAACAGUUCAGAAUGGAUUUCGACUAACUGGAAUCGAUGGAGUGGUCAGCGUUGGUGGUCAUCUCUUCGAAAAAAUUAUCGUAGAAAAUGUAUGAAGCAAAUUGAUUGCGUUUGCCACCAAAGUUGAUACUGGGACGCCUGUCUAGUGGGUGGUUUCUUCGUCGUGUGAUUAUGAAGACAGGAUACUACCUAAUAGAGCAACUCUUAAUCGAUGAUCUGGAAGAACGUCUUCCGAUGCUUAACACACGGUUAUCGGUUAAAGGUAAUUAUAGUAUCUACCUCCUUCAACCACAUAAAUGUAUUAUUGCAGCAAACCAAUACGGUUAGUACAAAUUGGGGAUUGAAGCUGUAACAUCAUAGCUUCACCAAACCCUUAAAACUGAUGCGCGCUUCUGACAGCGGUAAUAGCACAUUAGUAAAUAGCAUUGUCAACUACGUCGUGAAUGUCCAAUGGAAUUAUUCGUUUCCGAAUCGAUCCCGGAAAGGUUAAUAAACAUGAGUAACGGCUUGUAACAUUCAUCCCGUUGACGUAGGGUCAUCCCGUUUUCUUUUACCGUUAUUGAUACUACCGGUUAGCGGCAACGUCGAAACAAACGCUGAAACGACUCGAAGCAUUGCAAAUCUUUUGUCUCGCGAAAAUUUUAUCAAGACAUAGGAGACUGUUGACGCAAUUUCACUCAGAUUUUUUGGCAAAUGUUGGAAUAUCUUACCCAAAAGAAUUUUGUUGAGAUUGUUUGCGCCUUCUUUAAUCCUAGCGAUUAGGUAACCACACGAAAAUUCAUUUGCCAGGAACAUCACGAAGUCGCCAAUCGUCCUGGAGACGAUACCAACUUCCAUUGCCAGUUUGACAACUUGGUGCUUUUCGCCUCCAAACGAGUACAGCAACGGGGCGAAGGCGAAGAGGAUUUACAUUCCUGAAGACACUAACUGGGACAGAAUAUAGGACAUCUCGCGCAAGAAAUUCUGGGAUCAAAGACCGAAAGUCAGCUCAGCAGGGAGAACUGUCUAGACAAGUUCAUCAGUAGGAAAUAAAUGAAAUCUUAUCGUAGUAAUCUGUGCUAAACUAUCGAAUACGUGAAAACAUUGUCUUUGUUUAGUACUUUUAAAUUUUGCUAAAUUCAAUUGUUGUAAUAUGGUUCUUAUUUUUAAUGGUUUCAACCAUUAGACGCAGACAAAUGCAAACAUAGUUUCCAUUGACGUUUUUAUUCUCUCAGUUUGAGUAUUCUUUUGUAAUCCAGGGUUUGCUAUUCGAAAAGUAUCGGUUAUGUGCUUUUCAGCGAAUAACAUAACGAAGAAUUUGUUGAAACGAACGAUUCAAAAAUAUUUUCGUAUACAAUAUCAUAUAUCUUCUUAUUCAUUUUCGGAGACAUUGGGACUGGGAGGUGAGUUAUAGUGACGACAAUUAUAGUCAACGAUCCAAUUUCUACGGCAUCUGUCAACGAUGUAAUUUCACCAACAAAAAGGACAAACGCCAUAACAACUCAGGAUGAUUCAUUUGGAAUAGUCACAACGUUUCAGAUCUAGCACAUCAGAUUCCACGAUCAAACCAAAAGUUAGAAUCAAAUACAUUAUAUAAACGUUUUCAUUCGAGCAAUGAACUAAAUUUUCAGAUUCUCUUUUAUAACCACACACGAACCAUUUGUUUCUUAGAAGGCGGACCAGCUCGCUAUGAAUUCGGCCCUGAGUUUGUCAUGUAGAAAAUGAGAUGCAUAACUUAAUGAGAGAAAACAAAGAAACAUCUGAGAAUGUGCAACUUUUUGUUUCUCUACAGAAACCUGAGAAAACCACCAAAUAAUAAACAAAUGGAACUAAUUCAACUCAAAAAAGAAGAAGAAAAAAAAAAUUAGGCAUCGUGUUCUCAGUCAAUAUCAUCACCCGAUGUUCUUGCUUUCUGCUGUUCUUUGUAUUCUUGGUAGUCUUGAAUGUAAUCGGGAUGCUUACGCCUGAUAUGUUUCUGAAUAUACCGGCGCUGUGAAAGCAUGUGAGAGCAGAUAGGACAAGGAAAUGAGGGAACAACACCGCAUUCGUAACGAAGGUGGGCCACUUCAAAUCCAACGUCGACCACAUCGCGGACAGGAAAAAGGUCGGUCACCGCCAUCGGGAUCUUCUAUUAUGACAGAGCUACACUAAUAUUUGACGCUUUUCACAUUGAGAGGAGUCCGACAUGGUGAGAUCAUAGUUAGUCUCAGAGGCUCCAGCGCCAUUCUCUGAAGCCCAAGUUUCGUUACCGGUUUCUAAUCAUUACAUUGUAAAGAUUAAUAAAUAAAUGCAUAUAUAUUAAAAAAGAUAAAAACAUAUAUCCAUGAAGAAGAAAAUUCCAUCCCACCCUGAGCUGAAGCUAUUGCUCCGUAAGAACCAGAAGCGGAAAUUCCACUGAGACUAUGCUGAGAAUUCCCGGCACUCCAACAUUCAUCAUCUUCUUCCUACAAAAUUACAAUCAAAUAUUCCUGAUCCGAAUGUCUUUCUUGGUCAUCUUCAAGUUGCUCACCAACAGUGGGAUCCGUCUCCAUUUCACAGUCUCCGAGAUCAGGCGUUUCGUCUGAUUCGACAGGUUGUUGCGACUGCUUUCGUUCCGCCAAAG
rnacentral:lncRNA from 1 species